CAGCAGCCGCGGGAAAACGUAGGGUGCAAGCGUUAAUCGGAAUUACUGGGCGUAAAGCGUGCGCAGGCGGUAAUGUAAGACAGAUGUGAAAUCCCCGGGCUCAACCUGGGAACUGCAUUUGUGACUGCAUUGCUGGAGUGCGGCAGAGGGGGAUGGAAUUCCGCGUGUAGCAGUGAAAUGCGUAGAUAUGCGGAGGAACACCGAUGGCGAAGGCAAUCCCCUGGGCCUGCACUGACGCUCAUGCACGAAAGCGUGGGGAGCAAACAGGAUUAGAUACCCCCGUAGUCCCUGUCUCUUAUAC
rnacentral:rRNA from 1 species